ACGGGUGAGUAACGCGUGGGAACGUGCCAUUCGGUUCGGAAUAACUCAGGGAAACUUGAGCUAAUACCGGAUACGCCCUUCGGGGGAAAGAUUUAUUGCCGAAAGAUCGGCCCGCGUCCGAUUAGCUAGUUGGUGAGGUAAUGGCUCACCAGGGCGACGAUCGGUAGCUGGUCUGAGAGGAUGAUCAGCCACACUGGGACUGAGACACGGCCCAGACUCCUACGGGAGGCAGCAGUGGGGAAUAUUGGACAAUGGGCGCAAGCCUGAUCCAGCCAUGCCGCGUGAGUGAUGAAGGCCCUAGGGUUGUAAAGCUCUUUCGCCAGGGACGAUAAUGACGGUACCUGGAUAAGAAGCCCCGGCUAACUUCGUGCCAGCAGCCGCGGUAAUACGAAGGGGGCUAGCGUUGUUCGGAAUCACUGGGCGUAAAGCGCACGUAGGCGGAUCUUUAAGUCAGGGGUGAAAUCCCGAGGCUCAACCUCGGAACUGCCUUUGAUACUGGAGGUCUAGAGUCCGGGAGAGGUGAGUGGAACUGCGAGU
rnacentral:rRNA from 1 species